rnacentral:rRNA from 1 species
GGGAUAACGCAGCGAAAGCUGUGCUAAUACCGCAUACGAUCUACGGAUGAAAGCAGGGGAUCGCAAGACCUUGCGCGAAUGGAGCGGCCGAUGGCAGAUUAGGUAGUUGGUGAGGUAAAGGCUCACCAAGCCUUCGAUCUGUAGCUGGUCUGAGAGGACGACCAGCCACACUGGGACUGAGACACGGCCCAGACUCCUACGGGAGGCAGCAGUGGGGAAUUUUGGACAAUGGGCGCAAGCCUGAUCCAGCCAUGCCGCGUGCAGGAUGAAGGCCUUCGGGUUGUAAACUGCUUUUGUACGGAACGAAACGGCCUUUUCUAAUAAAGAGGGCUAAUGACGGUACCGUAAGAAUAAGCACCGGCUAACUACGUGCCAGCAGCCGCGGUAAUACGUAGGGUGCAAGCGUUAAUCGGAAUUACUGGGCGUAAAGCGUGCGCAGGCGGUAAUGUAAGACAGUUGUGAAAUCCCCGGGCUCAACCUGGGAACUGCAUCUGUGACUGCAUUGCUGGAGUACGGCAGAGGGGGAUGGAAUUCCGCGUGUAGCAGUGAAAUGCGUAGAUAUGCGGAGGAACACCGAUGGCGAAGGCAAUCCCCCUGGGCCUGUACUGACGCUCAUGCACGAAAGCGUGGG